GGACAGAUGGCCGAGCGGUUGAUGGCACCGGUCUUGAAAACCGGCAAGGGUGUUCCCCUUCGCGAGUUCGAAUCUCGCUCUGUCCG
rnacentral:tRNA from 1 species